AACCCCAGAUAGGUUGGGGGGCCGUAAAGCUUUCAGCUUUGAAUAAGAUAUAAAACCCCCUUUUGAUUUGUUAAAACAUCUUGCGGCCUGGCAACGGCAAGAGUCAAACAAGAAAUCAAAAG
rnacentral:sRNA from 1 species